rnacentral:lncRNA from 1 species
CUCAUAUUUAUAUGAAAAGCUCUCAAAGUGAUGGUGAAAAGCUUCCAAAUUGUCGGGGCAGCUGUCUGAAAGUUUCCAAACCGCUGAGGCUGCCGUCUCUACUAACCUUGGUGCUACGACCUCAACUUUUUCAAACCGCCGACCACUCACAUUUAUAUGAAAAGCUCUCAAAGUGACGGUGAAAAGCUUCCAAACCGUGGGGGCAGCCGUCUGAAAGUUUUCAAACCGCCGGGACUGCCAUCUCUACUAACCUUGGUGCUACGACCUCAACUUUUUCAAACCGCCGGCGCCUGAAAUUAUCGAAAUCAAUUGUACGGUAUGUGUAAUUUCCAGUUUAUGAUUUCAAUUGGAAAUGCUUUGAUCAUAGGAUGCAAAACUCUUUGUUGAACAGCUUAAAUUGUGCGUAGAGUUGUUUAGCUAAAGGACCUCGAAAACUGGUAUAUUUAGCAUUCAUGAAAGAGUUCUAAGGCUGUCAAAACAAAUUCUCAAGUUUUAAAAGUAACAAUUAAGCUUAAUAAUGGCGAGUAAUGUUAACAACAAUGUAUAAGUGAUAUUAUGACAUGUAAAGUAAUAAGUUAUUUUAUUUGAUAGUGAACUUUCUACUGGGAUAAAGCCGAAUUUAGCUUCUGUAAGUGCUCUAAGCAGAUUUUUAGAUGGAUAUGUUUUGUGGGUAUCAACUGCAAUAUUUGCAGUUAAUUUGCAUAGUUUGGUGUUGUAGAUAAAGAGACCUUUUACAGAACUAAAGCUUUACCGCAUGGCAGCGGCCGGACGACUACAAAAUAACCUUUACAAUUGAAGCUAUGUAAAUGUUUAGAAAUGUUCAAUUGAAAAUAAUGUCGUGUUGAAUUGAAAAUAAUUUAGUGUUCAACUGAGUUAUAUUCCAUAGAAUGGUCAAGACUAUUUUUUUGUGUUCAAUUGCACUUGUACUAUAUUUUAUGGAGAUCAAAUUCUGACUUUGAGCUUCUUGAAUUGCACUGCGCUAGAGUUUGCUCCAUGGUAGGAAAGAACAGAGGUAUAUGCCAUAGUUGCAGAAAGUCGGAUCAUUCGUUGUCGGAAUGUUCGAGAAAGAAAAGAUGCCCGAAAUGUGGUGAGGGGUUUGUGAAGUGGAUGGAGGUGGAAACAAAGGACGGUUGUUCCAUUGCUGUACUCGUGACUGUAGGCAUUUCAAGUGGUAUGAUGUUUCACCGUAUGACGAUGAGGUAGUGUGUUACGAUGGUGAAUCAAGUGGCGUCUCUAAUGGUAAUGAAGUCAUCGAUGAUUUGUUGCAUAUGUUGGAAACGUGUGCUAACAUAGCCGAGAAAAAAGACAUUGAGAUCUCUCUUAACAUCAUAACAAUUCGUAAGGGGAAAUGGGGUUCAGAAGAUGUUCUAUGAACUUUGAUGUAAUGGGAUGGUUUAGAAAUAUUUAAUCUUUGGUGGCAUGCGUUAACUAAUGAUUUUGUAAAUAUUUCAAGACAGCUUGGAUCCAUGAAUUUCAGUAGGUUUUCAAUUUCCUUUUACGAGUAUUAUCUUUAAGACAUGCUUUACUAAUGUGCUAUUGAGUUUAAAUGCUUCUGUGAAUGCUUUCAUGGUAUAUUUAAGCUUAUUAUCCUUGACAUGGA